UACAGAGGUCUCAAGCGUUGUUCGGAAUCACUGGGCGUAAAGGGUGCGUAGGCUGCGCGGUAAGUCAGAGGUGAAAUCCCGGAGCUCAACUUCGGAACUGCCUCCGAUACUGCCGCGCUUGAGGGCUUAAGAGGAGUGGGGAAUUCACGGUGGAGCAGUGAAAUGCGUAGAUAUCGUGAGGAACACUAGCGGCGAAGGCGCCACUCUGGGAAGAUCCUGACGCUGAGGCACGAAGGCCAGGGGAGCAAACGGG
rnacentral:rRNA from 1 species